rnacentral:rRNA from 1 species
GAUGAACGCUAGCGGCAGGCCUAACACAUGCAAGUCGAGGGGUAUAGGGAGCUUGCUUCCUAGAGACCGGCGCACGGGUGCGUAACGCGUAUGCAAUCUACCUUGUACAGGGGAAUAGCCCAGAGAAAUUUGGAUUAAUGCCCCAUAGUAUUAUUAAAUGGCAUCCUUUAAUAAUUAAAGUUCCAACGGUACAAGAUGAGCAUGCGUCCUAUUAGUUAGUUGGUGUGGUAACGGCAUACCAAGACGAUGAUAGGUAGGGGUCCUGAGAGGGAGACUCCCCCACACUGGUACUGAGACACGGACCAGACUCCUACGGGAGGCAGCAGUGAGGAAUAUUGGACAAUGGGCGCAAGCCUGAUCCAGCCAUGCCGCGUGCAGGAAGACGGUCCUAUGGAUUGUAAACUGCUUUUAUACAGGAAGAAACACUGGUUCGUGAACCAGCUUGACGGUACUGUAAGAAUAAGGAUCGGCUAACUCCGUGCCAGCAGCCGAC